GACGAACGCUGGCGGCGUGCCUAACACAUGCAAGUCGAGCGGUAAGGCCCUUUCGGGGGUACACGAGCGGCGAACGGGUGAGUAACACGUGGGUGACCUGCCUUUAGCUCUGGGAUAAGCCUGGGAAACUGGGUCUAAUACCGGAUAUGACCCUAUGGCGCAUGUUGUGGGGUGGAAAGCCUUGUGCGGCUAGGGAUGGGCCCGCGGCCUAUCAGCUUGUUGGUGGGGUGAUGGCCUACCAAGGCGACGACGGGUAGCCGGCCUGAGAGGGCGACCGGCCACACUGGGACUGAGACACGGCCCAGACUCCUACGGGAGGCAGCAGUGGGGAAUCUUGCGCAAUGGGCGAAAGCCUGACGCAGCGACGCCGCGUGAGGGAUGACGGCCU
rnacentral:rRNA from 1 species